AACCCUAAAUACUCUCUAGUGACCGAUAGUGAACCAGUACCGUGAGGGAAAGGUGAAAAGCACCCCGGGAGGGGAGUGAAAUAGAACCUGAAACCGUGUGCCUACAACAAGUUCGAGCCCGUUAAUGGGUGAGAGCGUGCCUUUUGUAGAAUGAACCGGCGAGUUACGAUAUGAUGCGAGGUUAAGUUGAAGAGACGGAGCCGUAGGGAAACCGAGUCUUAAUAGGGCGGAUUAGUAUCAUGUCGUAGACCCGAAACCAUGUGACCUACCCAUGAGCAGGGUGAAGGUGAGGUAAAACUCACUGGAGGCCCGAACCAGGGCACGUUGAAAAGUGCUUGGAUGACUUGUGGGUAGCGGAGAAAUUCCAAACGAACUUGGAGAUAGCUGGUUCUCUCCGAAAUAGCUUUAGGGCUAGCGUCGAUGUUAAGUCUCUUGGAGGUAGAGCACUGUUUGAUUGAGGGGUCCAUCCCGGAUUACCAAUAUCAGAUAAACUCCGAAUGCCAAUGAGAUAUAAUCGGCAGUCAGACUGCGAGUGCUAAGAUCCGUAGUCGAAAGGGAAACAGCCCAGACCACCAGCUAAGGUCCCAAAAUAUAUGUUAAGUGGAAAAGGAUGUGGGGUUGCACAGACAACUAGGAUGUUAGCUUAGAAGCAGCUAUUCAUUCAAAGAGUGCGUAAUAGCUCACUAGUCGAGUGACCCUGCGCCGAAAAUGUACCGGGGCUAAAACAUAUUACCGAAGCUGUGGAUACCUUUUAGGUAUGGUAGGAGAGCGUUCUAUGUGUGAUGAAGGUGUACCGUGAGGAGCGCUGGAACGCAUAGAAGUGAGAAUGCCGGUAUGAGUAGCGAAAGACAGGUGAGAAUCCUGUCCACCGUAAGACUAAGGUUUCCAGGGGAAGGCUCGUCCUCCCUGGGUUAGUCGGGACCUAAGGAGAGACCGAAAGGUGUAUCCGAUGGACAACAGGUUGAUAUUCCUGUACUAGAGUAUAUAGUGAUGGAGGGACGCAGUAGGCUAACUAAAGCGUGCGAUUGGAAGUGCACGUCUAAGCAGUGAGGUGUGAUGUGAGUCAAAUGCUUACGUCUAUAACAUUGAGCUGUGAUGGGGAGCGAAGUUAAGUAGCGAAGUUAGUGAUGUCACACUGCCAAGAAAAGCUUCUAGCGUUAAUUAUACUCUACCCGUACCGCAAACCGACACAGGUAGUCGAGGCGAGUAGCCUCAGGUGAGCGAGAGAACUCUCGUUAAGGAACUCGGCAAAAUGGCCCCGUAACUUCGGGAGAAGGGGCGCUGGCUUUAAGUCAGCCGCAGUGAAUAGGCCCAAGCAACUGUUUAUCAAAAACACAGCUCUCUGCUAAAUCGUAAGAUGAUGUAUAGGGGGUGACGCCUGCCCGGUGCUGGAAGGUUAAGAGGAGCGCUUAGCAUUAGCGAAGGUGUGAAUUGAAGCCCCAGUAAACGGCGGCCGUAACUAUAACGGUCCUAAGGUAGCGAAAUUCCUUGUCGGGUAAGUUCCGACCCGCACGAAAGGCGUAAUGAUUUGGGCACUGUCUCAACGAGAGACUCGGUGAAAUUUUAGUACCUGUGAAGAUGCAGGUUACCCGCGACAGGACGGAAAGACCCCAUGGAGCUUUACUGCAGUUUGAUAUUGAGUAUCUGUACCACAUGUACAGGAUAGGUAGGAGCCUAAGAAAUCGGGACGCUAGUUUCGGUGGAGGCGUUGUUGGGAUACUACCCUUGUGUUAUGGCUACUCUAACCUAGAUAGGUGAUCCCUAUCGGAGACAGUGUCUGACGGGCAGUUUGACUGGGGCGGUCGCCUCCUAAAAGGUAACGGAGGCGCCCAAAGGUUCCCUCAGAAUGGUUGGAAAUCAUUCGCAGAGUGUAAAGGUAUAAGGGAGCUUGACUGCGAGAGCUACAACUCGAGCAGGGACGAAAGUCGGGCUUAGUGAUCCGGUGGUUCCGCAUGGAAGGGCCAUCGCUCAACGGAUAAAAGCUACCCUGG
rnacentral:rRNA from 1 species